rnacentral:rRNA from 1 species
GAUGAACGCUGGCGGCGUGCCUAACACAUGCAAGUCGAGCGGCAGCGAGGGGUGCUUGCACCCUGUCGGCGAGCGGCGGACGGCUGAGUAACGCGUGGGAACGUGCCCCAAAGUGAGGAAUAACUGCCCGAAAGGGUAGCUAAUACCGCAUAUUAUCUUCGGAUCAAAGGAUUUAUCCGCUUUGGGAGCGGCUCGCGUCGGAUUAGGUAGUUGGUGAGGUAAUGGCUCACCAAGCCGACGAUCCGUAGCUGGUCUGAGAGGAUGACCAGCCAGACUGGAACUGAGACACGGUCCAGACUCCUACGGGAGGCAGCAGUGAGGAAUCUUCCACAAUGGGCGAAAGCCUGAUGGAGCAACGCCGCGUGCAGGACGAAGGCCUUCGGGUUGUAAACUGCUUUUAUAAGUGAGGAAUAUGACGGUAACUUAUGAAUAAGGAUCGGCUAACUACAUG